UACGUAGGGUGCAAGCGUUGUCCGGAAUUACUGGGCGUAAAGCGUGCGCAGGCGGUUUUGUAAGCCAGACGUGAAAUCCCCGGGCUUAACCUGGGAAUGGCGUUUGGGACUGGAAGUCUGGAGUGCGGCAGAGGAGACUGGAAUUCCUGGUGUAGCAGUGAAAUGCGUAGAUAUCAGGAGGAACACCGAUGGCGAAGGCAGGUCUCUGGGCAGUUCCUGACGCUGAGGCACGAAGGCCAGGGGAGCAAACGGG
rnacentral:rRNA from 1 species